GUGCGUGUUGCAGUUUCGGUUUGUGACCGACACUAACGGGUAGUUAAAGGGCAUCCUCGCAUUCUGCUGGCUUACUCGUUUUUGCGAUCACAAAUUCUGAAAUUGCAACGA
rnacentral:pre_miRNA from 13 species